UCUCUCUCUAUCGAGCACAAAUCCCUCCUUCACUGCACUGCCCCCUCCGCUCCGACAGGUGUAGGCCUUUCAGGCUCCGGGCUUUCUUGUAAAGGGAUCGAAAGCAUCUGGUCGAUAUGGACUCUCGAGUUGGGAGCCGGUAAUGUUCGUUGCCCACCGACAGGAAGGCAGGCCUGGGAUGAACCUCGUCUUCCCCGAAGUGGACUGGAUGGAAAUGGGAAUCUGGCUGCUCGGUAGAGCUGCACUUGGUGUACAACUCACGACGCAUUUCCUGGCCGACUUCAACCUGGGAGGGAGUGCUACGGACCCAGCGGUUCUUCACUAAGGAAUAGAUGUAGCCGACAGGCGGUGUACGUGGGCCCUUUGAAGACCAUGCGGAGCAAACUGGCUGCCAGAAGACUGACCAUCGCCAGCAAACACACAUAUUUCCAAAGGUUCAGCUUUCAUUUUGGAGCAAUUUUUCCACCAUGACUAGACACUGAGAAAAGCCUGUCAGCCAACAGUUAUCCAAUGUCAACAUAUUUGCUGGAGAUACAUCAGGAGCAACUCUGGGUUCAUAAUCCUGCCAAGAUUACCUUGACAUGAAGCCUGGAAGAGCUACCAACAUUUCGAUUUGCAGACAUCCUGCUCCAUCCUGCUGAGCCACUGUGAGAAGAUCCCGCUAAAAAUGUUUCUGCCCAUUUUCGAAGAUGUGUUGUCAGCACAGGUGUCCAUGUUUAAGAUGGCUAGCUAACAGCAGCAGCUUUUCCCCAGCCACUGAUUUUGCAUGUCUGUUUCUUAGUGUUAAUGUGUACUAAAAUGUUAUAAUCACUGUAGAAGAUUAUAGUAUUGUCAGAUACACAUAAAGUUUAGAAUAUUUGAAAAUGCAGUUAUUAAUUUCCAUCAAAUACAUUUAAGACAAGCUGUCAAGUAAGCACAGUGAAUAUAUGGAAAUGUACUAAUGUAAAUAUCUGAACUGAGAGGCAGAAAAGGGGCGA